UUAUCUCUUGGUCAAGGUUGCCUGCAAACCUUUCCGCGAGAUUCCUAGGAAGAGAAUGGGUAUGUUCUCUAAUUCUUCCCAGAAAAGGGGGACACAUAGCACUAAUUAUUAUAUCGUAACUUUUACUUGCUUUCUCUAAUUCAUCAAGCAGAGACGUAGGAGCAGACAAAUAAUCUGUCUGCUAGGCGUGAAGGAAAAGCUUCAAGGAGAGACGAUUUUCACAGAAGUAGAGAUUUAUUGGCAUCAAAAUUCAGGCCUGUCGCUCAAAGUUUUCCCUCAGAAGGAGCGUGCUAUGCAACUAGCGAAGAAAAGGAAAACGGUGAUAAAGUUGCAUUAAGAAAUCAAGUUCUUGACUGAAUCUCUAACAGCUUCCGGCCUUAAAAUUUUGUAAUCCAAUAUGGCUUCUUCCUUUAACAGCACAAAUUGUUGGAUGUACAGUGUCUUCUUGAUUUUCAGGGGCCAAGAGACCCACAUUACUUUUACUGCCCAUCUAUAUCAUGCUCUGUGCAACAAAGGAAUUAAUGCUUUCAUCGAUGAAAAGCUUGAGAGGGGAGAACACAUUACUUCUCAACUCAACCAAAUUAUUGAAGACUCGAGAAUCUCCCUUGUCAAAUUCUCUGAAAACUAUGCAAGAUCUAUUAUUGUCUGGAUGAGCUGGUGAAGAUACUUGAAUGUAAAGAAUCAAAGGGGCAAGUUGUUUUGCCUGUGUUUUAUAAUGUGGAUCCUUCAGAUGUGGAAGAACAAAAGGGUAGUUUUGGAGAAUCCCUGGAUUUCCAUGAAACUUAUUUGGGGAUUAAUGGAGAGCAGCUCAAGCAAUGGAGAGAAGCUCUAACAAAAGCAGCUCAAUUGUCAGGGUGGCAUUUAGACAGGGGGAAUGAGGCUGUUUUUAUUCGGAAAAUUGUUGAAGAAGUAUGGACACAAUUGAACCACACGUCCUUACAUGUUGCGGCAUACCAAGUUGGAUUGGAUCAACGUAUUGAAGAACUCAUUCAUAUGCUAAAUAUUGGGUCAAGUAAUGUGUGUAUGGUAUGUUGGGAAUUCCGAUCGGUGAUAUUCUGAUAUUUGCUUAUAGGAGGGCUAAGCACACUGACACAGUA